AUUUAUCUUGUGGGUGGGUGGGUGGGGGGGUCAUUAGUUAUGGCUUCUGCAGAACCCACAGUAGUUCAGCAGGCAUUUGGAAAUCCGAGAAUAAACACUUAGCGAAUCAGUUCAAAUGAAUCAAGGAACCGACUCGUUUGCGACUCGGACUCCGCUACGCUGUGAACCGAGCGUGAAUGAUGCUCUCGGACUAACAAGGCACAGUGAUGCUCAGAGAGGAGGACAGAUGACUCGGGGAAGACGGUCUCUCUUCAGCGUUAUGAUUCAUUUAGAGUAGUGUUUUAUUACUGCGUAGCACGCGCUGGAUUUUAUAGCAGAGGAGAACACGAUAGGCGAUAUCGGAUGGUCGGUGAAAGGAGGAGAGAAAGGGGGGUGUAUGAUCUUAAUGAUGAUUUAUAGGCUACAGCGGACCGUCACUUAAUUCUGAAUCAGCCUGAAUAGCGUGCAACUUCUGAAGGGAAAUAACAGAAACACCUUUUCCUCGGUAAAGGGCAGAUGGAUGGAGAGACAGGCAGAAGAAGGGCUCUCUGAUGAAAAGAGCAACCUCCCUUUGGAAUGAACAAAAAAUGAUGAAUGUGCUUUUUCCCUGAUUGGUCCAGCAAAACAGAAAAGACUCCACUUAGCGAGGACAUCUGAGAACAGAACUGAACAAUGACAGUGAACAAUGGCACAUAAUUACAAAUAACUCUGUUCUGUGGCUUCUCAUUCUGUGUGAGGAACAGAAGUCAGAUAUUUUGCAAGCUUGCAUGCCAUGAAAGAGGAUUUGAAAUACUGGCUUGUGACCGAAGUGGCUCGUUGGAAUUCAUGAGGAAUGUGGAUCAGAUAUCUUAUAGCUUUUCGAUUCUGAGGGCCAUUUUACUGACUUUUUAUUUUUUGCCAAUUAAAAUUUUUCAAGCACUUCCUGGCACAUCUUUUGACUGAUUAGAGCCUCCUUACGAAUCUCAACGUUCCUGAACAUUCUGCAUGGAUAAAUCCGCUCAGGAUGAACAGCGUUGCAUCUCACUGAUUCUCAGACUCAACCCAAUGAGAAGUGGAGUCAACAGCAGGACAGAGAUCCAGUCAGUCAGUGUGGAGUCCAUUAUCCUUCACUGCCAGAUCUCCCUCAGAGCUGAAACAGCACCUACUCAGCUUUGGUGUCAGAAGGUAAAAGAAAACGUGCCACAAGACCAAAUGGACUUCUGAAUCAUCUGGUGUAAAGAACCAUUAUAUUGGUUGAAUUGAGCUAUAAAAGGCAAGUGGAGGC
rnacentral:lncRNA from 1 species